UUCUAUUUCCUAGGGAUAUGCCACUGCAGCUGACCUGGAGAGUUCACUCCCUUUACCUGCAACUCGUCGUCUGAUACUUCUUGGAGAAACGGGAAGCCGCUUCCAACGCUGGAUGCUCAGCAUUGAGGGCCAUAUUGUGUGCAAAGGGAUCCAGUUCACCUUUGUGACAGGGCUGGCGUCUUUUUUUUCCUGUUUUUACAUCUUUAACUUACAGUACCAAGAGGAGGCAGCCUGCACGCUUGAAUUCAUCCAGAGACGCUUUGUGGGUAUAAACCCAGAAAAAGGGACAAAGGCUGCAAAGGGGAAAAAAAGAACUGUCAAUGCACACGUCGCCAGCCUCUUGCACAGACUCAUGGAUUUUCAGUGGGAUUUCAUUUGAAAAAGACCCAAGACUUUCCAAAGGAUCCUCAUUGUGUGCUUUGAGAAAAUGGUUAGUGGUCUAUGCAGUGACAGUGUUUUUAUUGUUUAUUGCUCUUUAUUGACCAGGAGUUCCAUUAAGUGUUAAGUCUAGGCUUAAAUGUAUUCAUACAUGUUGAAUUUCAGUGGUUUGGUAACAUUAAGUGUUGAGGUUCAGUAUUUUGUUAUAUUG